GCAUGUGCACACCCCACCAUCUCAUCUCUCCACCUGUGCACUCUGUAGACUUGGGAUAAAUUUUUCCGAGGCAACUCGGUCUGGAGGAAUGCUGCAAAGCUUUCUUUGUAAUUCCUGGUCUACGUUUUUCAUAUACCCCAAUAGCAUGUAACAGAAUGUAUCAUUUGGGCCCUCGUGCCUAUAUAAACCUUAUACAACUUUCAGCAACGGAUCUCUUGGCUCUCGCAUCGAUGAAGAACGCAGCGAAAUGCGAUAAGUAAUGUGAAUUGCAGAAUUCAGUGAAUCAUCGAAUCUUUGAACGCACCUUGCGCUCCUUGGUAUUCCGAGGAGCAUGCCUGUUUGAGUGUCAUUAAAUUCUCAACCUUGUCAGCCUUUGCUGAUAGUGGCUUGGAUGUGGGGGUUGCUGGCCUGGUCAGCUCCCCUUAAAUGCAUUAGCUGGUGCCCCGUGUGGACUUGUCUAUUGGUGUGAUAAUUAUCUACGCCGUGGAUGGUCUGCAAUCAUCACCGCUUCUAACCGUCUCCGGACGAUACAUGACAAUUUGACCUCAAAUCAGGUAGGACUACCCGCUGAACUUAAGCAUAUCAAUAAGCGGAGGA
rnacentral:rRNA from 1 species